AGCACUUUGGGAUGCAGGAGGGUUUGAGUCCAUUCUAAACUGGCCCCAUGGAUGAGAAGGGGGUCCAGUCCCCAGCUCAAAUCCACACAGCUGGGUGGAAUGAACCAAUCAAGGCCAACUGGGUAUAACCAAGUCCUCAAUCACUCUGGAAUGCUCCCAGGAGAGCCGGGCCAUUGGUUGGAAGCGUAUGACGUCACCCAGGAAAUACCUUUUGAUUGAACAGAAUCCAUCCUAUCUUUUGGUGUGACGUCGAAAACACAAUCCGGGGUGCCAUUUCACAAUCCAUUAGCGGGGCAGCAGAGGGGCGGCGGGGCCUUAAGAGAAGCGCAAGGAAGGCAGGAAAAACCCUCAACAUCUCGUGAGCUGGGGAGACUAGGCAGGGCCAUCAGAGUCUCACACGUGACGCGAGGCCGUCGAAAUGCCCCCAGAAUGGUCAUAGCAAAGGACAGCGUUGGUGCUUUAAGAUGGAUGAGAAAAACCUGAGCCAGAGGCUGGUUGCAUCUGGCUUAAAGGAGGGAGGCCCUGAUGGCAAAGACAAAGCCAGCUGAAGACUGGAAAGACACUAUUCCUGGCUCAGAAUAAAGUCCAAACUUCGCACAACUUGAUGAGGACUCUCUGAAGGGGGGAGGAAAUAUAUUUGCAAAAUGCAAAUGAAGUCAACUGGCCCAAACUCAGUACGAGAUAUACUGAUGGGGGCUCGUGGAAACUCCUACAACUCUGAUGACAUCUGGAAACUGGAGAGGAAGGGCAGCGACUGACCUCUUGGGAUUCCAUUCAUCCGUGCUAGUAGUAGCUGGGACAAUUGUUGUUGUCCUUCAUUUUCAGAGAGGACCAAAGACUUAUCGGGCGAUAUCUUGCCUUGUGCAUGGACGGGCUUUUAAUGACGCAGAGUUUCAUAAAGUCAUGAGUUUCACCCGUC